rnacentral:rRNA from 1 species
GUCGAGAAUCUUUCACAAUGGGGGCAACCCUGAUGGAGCGACGCCGCGUGGAGGAUAAGGUCUUCGGAUUGUAAACUCCUGUCAUGCGUGAACCAGGUUGCUUGGUUAAUACCUGGGCAAAUUGAUGGUAACGCAAGAGGAAGAGACGGCUAACUCUGUGCCAGCAGCCGCGGUAAUACAGAGGUCUCAAGCGUUGUUCGGAAUCACUGGGCGUAAAGGGUGCGUAGGUGGCGUGGUAAGUCAGAUGUGAAAGCCCGGGGCUCAACCUCGGAACUGCAUCCGAUACUGCCAUGCUAGAGUACUGGAGAGGUGACUAGAAUUCUCGGUGUAGCAGUGAAAUGCGUAGAUAUCGAGAGGAAUACCAAAGGCGUAGGCAGGUCACUGGACAGUUACUGACACUGAGGCACGAAGGCCAGGGGAGCGAACGGGAUUAGAUACCCCUGUAGUCC